GACGAACGCUGGCGGCGUGUUUAACACAUGCAAGUCGAACGGUGAAGCGCCUUCCUUUUUGGUGGGUGUGGAUGAGUGGCGAACGGGUGAGUAACACGUGAGUAACCUGCCCCCUUCUUCUGGAUAACCGCAUGAAAGUGUGGCUAAUACGGGAUAUUCUGGGUCUGUCGCAUGAUGGGUCUGGGAAAGAUAUUGUUUCGGUGGGGGAUGGGCUCGCGGCCUAUCAGCUUGUUGGUGGGGUGAUGGCCUACCAAGGCGGUGACGGGUAGCCGGCCUGAGAGGGUGGACGGUCACACUGGGACUGAGACACGGCCCAGACUCCUACGGGAGGCAGCAGUGGGGAAUAUUGCACAAUGGGCGCAAGCCUGAUGCAGCGACGCCGCGUGAGGGAUGGAGGCCUUCGGGUUGUGAACCUCUUUCGCCAGUGAAGCAGGCCUGCCUCGUUUGUGGGUGGGUUGACGGUAGCUGGAUAAGAAGCGCCGGCUAACUACGU
rnacentral:rRNA from 1 species